CAUUACUGUUUUGGAUCCGAUAUUUGUAAUGCAGAAUUUUAACAAAUAUUAAAUAUACUGAUUAGCACGGCGGCCAACAUGGCCGCCACGUCAAGAAGACGUGACAAAUCUCAAAGUUCCUUUCAGAUCUACCCGCAGACUGCCUACUACUAACUAAAACACUGCAUUUUAUCCCCAGAUGCUGAAAACGGCCAACAACGUUUGGGGUUUCGUACACUUAACUAUGAAUACGACAUAAAGCUUGAAAACGCUAGUCACUACAUUGCAAUCUCUAAUAAGACUGCAACAUGACGCGCGAAAUCAAUGACUGCCACUCUGCUAUGUGCCCUAAGGCUGCUACAUUAAAAAUAAAAACACUGUAUACCACCCUGCAAUCUUUUCAACGAUGGCAGCAUGACGCAGGAAAAUCAAUGUCUGCCACACUGCAAUCAAUUCGACUGCUAAAUAACGCAUGGAAACAAUGUCUUCCACUCUGCAAUUUCUACUACGAUUGAAGCACGACGCAUGAAAACAAUGUCUGCUACACUGAUAUCUCUGCUAUGACUGAAGCACGAAGAAUGAAAAAUAUCUGCUUAACACCUAUUUAUACUACGACUUCUACAUUGUCCAUAAAGCGUCGGCUAGACUGCAUACUUCACUUUUAAUGCAAGAAGUCACAUAAAGACAACGUCUGAAAACAUCAAACUACAUUACUAUAAAUAAACUGUAUAUAAAGAUCCAGUCAGCUGCAUAACUCCAGUACCCCGCCUGGACUGUUUUAUGUAUCAUCUUGAAAAAUUUGGUUUACCGAAAAAUCCUCGUCGUUAGCUUAAUGGUCGAUAAUAACAAUUUCUGCAAGAAAUGCCAAUUCCACUUCGACUGCUAGAUAACGCAUAAAGACAACAUCUGCUACAUUGAAAACCAAUUUCUACAAUUACGACUGCUACGUGGUUCACAUUGGCAACGUAUUUUAAACCGUAUACUAUAUUGUAAAUUUUCACGCGGAGAUACCAUCUGUUAUGCAAGCUUUUUACUAUUGUUUUUCUGUACAUUGAUGUACAUUUAAAAAAAAAUUAAACACAAUUUAUAAGUAAAUGUCUACAGUCGCAGCCCCCGACAUGGUAAGCCCAUUUAAAAUUAGAAACAUAAGUGUAUUUUUUUCUUAAAAGGUUGUAACGCAUAUUCCUUUAAUUCUUCAAAUCCAUUAACUAAUAUCAUUAGUUUUUCUUUAUUUGUAACAUUUUACUUGGGGUAAUUAAUACGGCUAUUGAAUAUUACAUGUUUUCAAACUUGUUUUGCGGUGUCCGCUGUAGAUAAUAGCCCAUACAGUUACACAAAGCACUAUAAAUACUGAAGCUUAAAGUAAAAGCAAAUUGUCUAUAUGAAUGAAAUGAGACAAUACAAACCUGUAUACUAUGGUAAUGGAAAGCUUAGUAACAAGAAAUUAAAUACACAAUCUUAUUCACAAACAUAGUUAAUCAGUGCGUUUUACGCCAUAUCGAGCAUGACCCUGGUACGUCCAUACUCUGACAACCCACUUGACUUUGAAACCUUGUCAACAUGACCCUGGUACGUCCGUCCCCUUACAACCCACUUGACUUUGAAACUUGGUCAAAAUGACCCUGGUACGACCAUCCUCUGACAACCCACUUGACUUUGAAACUUGGUAAACAUGACCCUGGUACGUCCGUCCCCUUACAACCAACUUGACUUUGAAACUUGGUCACAUGACCCUGGUACGUCCAUCCUCUGACAACUCACUUGACUUUGAAACUUGGACACAUGACCCUGGUACGUCCGAACCCUUACAACUCACUUGACUUUGAAACUUGGUCAACAUGACCCUGGUACGUCCAUCCUAUGACAACCCACUCGACUUUGAAACUUGGCCACAUGACCUGGUACGUCCGUCCUCUGACAACCCACUUGCAUUUGAAACUUGGUCACAUGACCCUGGUACGUCCUUCCCCUUACAACCCACUUGACUUUGAAACUUCGUCACGUGACUCCUGGUACGUCUUGUUGAAGAGUGCAGUGGUACGUUGAAUAUCAUUAGUUGCAAGAUUUAUCUGGUACGUCCGUCCUCUGGUAGGUCACGUGACUACAAACUUGGCGACGUGACUCUGAAACAUUACCACUUGACACACAAAAAUAAUGUAAGGCAUUAAAAUAUGACCAUGUCUUUUUUAAAAUAUCAGCAAGUGACCGUAAAACAAGGAUAAGCGUGACAUAAUGGCAAUCAUGUAAUAUAAAUUUACCAUCAUAUCGCAAAAAACAAUCUUUUGAUGUUUUUAUUUCUGGAUUGUUGUUCACAUAUGUUAAACAGUGACCCUUUCCUAGAAGAUGCUUGACCAUACAUAUUAAAGAGCAAUAUAUUUAGACAAUCUGGACGUAAUUCCCCGGUCAACAUAUAUAUUCACUGUCACUGUAAAGCAACAUCUUUUUCAGGCUAACCGAUUUUUUUGUUUUAAUAUGAAUGCUUCUUCUGUCAAACAGUAAACGACUGGGUGUAUAUGUAAAUUUCAGUGUACAAAAGUAUACAAUAAAAUACCAAAA